rnacentral:lncRNA from 1 species
AGUGGGUUUCGUUCCUCCUAUGAUGUUUCUCCAAUAUACUAAUUUUGUGAAAGUCGGUAACAAAAUGCCAAAGAAAGUGAGGAAAAUGAGAAGAGAGAGGAAACAGAAAGAGAGAAAUGGAGAUGAAGCGAGAUGUGUUUGGGUGUUUCUUGAGUUUUUCUUGGGUGAGUAAUGGAGGGAAUUGAAGGGAAAUAGUGAGAGAAAAUGAGUGAAAAAUGAUGGGUUCAGAGAGAUGAAUGAGCUCUUGGAAUUUUUUGUUCUCACCAUUGAAGAUUCUCUGAGAAAUUUACAGAAGCUCUUGAGGAAAUUAUGGAGGAAGAAAAGCAGCUAAAGUUAUUUCAGUAGAAGAUGGCUUUCUAGCGAGAAAACGAUGGAAUAAUAGAAAAUUGAUGCGUAGGAAGUAGUAAAUUAGAGAAGUGAUGAAGGGUAGAUUUAGAACAACCUCCAUUUCAAUUCAAGAAUAGUUCACGGUGGUUAGAUAAAGAAAGGGGUUUUAAUGAUGGCUAUAAGGUUGUUUUGAGGUGGAAUAAUUGAUGAAGUG